rnacentral:rRNA from 1 species
UACGUAGGGUGCAAGCGUUAUCCGGAAUUAUUGGGCGUAAAGAGCUCGUAGGCGGUUUGUCGCGUCUGCUGUGAAAACCCGAGGCUCAACCUCGGGCCUGCAGUGGGUACGGGCAGACUAGAGUGCGGUAGGGGAGAUUGGAAUUCCUGGUGUAGCGGUGGAAUGCGCAGAUAUCAGGAGGAACACCGAUGGUGAAGGCAGAUCUCUGGGCCGUUACUGACGCUGAGACGCGAAAGCGUGGGGAGCGAACAGG